rnacentral:rRNA from 1 species
AUGGCGGGGCGCGGCCGUGCCGGGCAUGCGAGCUCCUCCUACUGCGGGGCGGGGCGAGGCCGGGCCGGACACGCGAGCUGCUGUAGCACGGGAGCCGGGCGGGGCGUGUUGCCGGAACGAGUACGUGAGCGACAGAGGCGGCUGCUCUGCGUGGCGGGACGAGGCCAUGGCGAGCUCGUGCGGCGGCGUGGCAUGGCGAGGCCGGGUCAAACGCGAGCGGCGACGUGGCCAAGGCAUGCAAGCGAGCUCCUGAGCCAUGGCGGAAGUGCAGAACGGCAUGCGAGUGGCUCGAGCGUCACCACGAGCCGGGGCCCACAAUGCAUCGAAGCUAGCUAG